rnacentral:rRNA from 1 species
AGUGAACGCUGGCGGUAGGCCAAACACAUGCAAGUCGAACGGCAGCACAGGAGAGCUUGCUCUCUGGGUGGCGAGUGGCGGACGGGUGAGGAAUACAUCGGAACCUACUUUUUCGCGGGGGAUAACGCUGGGAAACUUACGCUAAUACGGCAUACGACCUACGGGUGAAAGCAGGUGAUCUUCGGACCUGGCGCCAUUGAAUGAGCCGAUGUCGGAUUAGCUAGUUGGCGGGGUAAAGGCCCACCAAGGCGACGAUCCGUAGCUGGUCUGAGAGGAUGAUCAGACACACUGGAACUGAGACACGGUCCAGACUCCUACGGGAGGAAGGAGUGGAGAAUAUUGGACAAUGGGCGCAAGCCUGAUCCAGCCAUACCGCGUGGGUGAAGAAGGCAUUCGGGUUGUAAAGCCCUUUUGUUGGGAAAGAAAUCCAGCUGGUUAAUACCCGGUUGGGAUGACGGUACCCAAAGAAUAAGCAACGGCUAACUUCGUGCCAGCCGCCGCAGUAA